rnacentral:rRNA from 1 species
AGUGAACGCUGGCGGCGUGCCUAAUACAUGCAAGUCGAACGGAGUGGCGCACGGGUGAGUAAUAUAUAGCUAAUCUGCCCCUUGCUGGAGGACAACAGUUAGAAAUGACUGCUAAUACCCCAUAGCAAGGGAUGAGCCUAUAUCGUAUCAGCUAGUCGGUGGGGUAACGGCCUACCGAGGCUAUGACGCGUAACUGGUCUGAGAGGAUGAUCAGUCACAUUGGAACUGAGGCACGGUCCAGACUCCUACUGGAAGGAGCAGUAGGGAAUAGUGCGCAAUGGGGGAGGCCCUGACGCAGCAACGCCGCGUGAAGGAUGACACUUUUCGGGGCGUAAACUCCUUUUGUUAGGGAAGCGGUACCUAACGAAUAAGCACCGGCUAACUCCGUGCCAGCCGCCGCGGUAAUGC